AGUGCCGUUGAUGGCCCGAAAUUCCGAAUUUUAGCUUUAUUAAUGCUAAAUUCGGUCUUUCGGGCAUAUCAAAGGCACC